AUUGAACGCUGGCGGCAUGCUUUACACAUGCAAGUCGAACGGCAGCACGGGGGUAACCCUGGUGGCGAGUGGCGAACGGGUGAGUAAUGCAUCGGAACAUAUCUUAAAGUGGGGAAUAACGCAUCGAAAGGUGUGCUAAUACUCCAUAUACUCUAAGGAGGAAAGCGGGGGAUCGAAAGACCUCGUGCUUUAAGGGUGGCCGAUGUCUGAUUAGCUAGUUGGUGGGGUAAAGGCUUACCAAGGCGACGAUCAGUAGCUGGUCUGAGAGGACGAUCAGCCACACUGGGACUGAGACACGGCCCAGACUCCUACGGGAGGCAGCAGUGGGGAAUUUUGGACAAUGGGCGAAAGCCUGAUCCAGCCAUGCCGCGUGAGUGAAG
rnacentral:rRNA from 1 species